CCCCUGUGUUGAGUUGCCAUGCUAAUAUUGAGACACAGGUAUGGGGUGUUGUUGAGAUAAUUCUUUCCUAAUGUCUACCUGAGGAGC
ensembl:snoRNA small nucleolar RNA, C/D box 9